rnacentral:tRNA from 3 species
GCUAAUAGGGCUGCUUAAGCAGGCUACUUUGAUAUAGUAGAUUGUAAACUGAAUGUUUCGUUAGUA